CUCAGCUGAUGGCAAGGUUGGUUCUCUCAAUCAUGUUGGCUCGGAUAUUCGUAACUUGUGAUUGGUGGAAACUUUGUAAAAACUAAUGAUGAUGUGUUAGGCUGAAUUUUGCCUGUACAUGGAUUCAUCAAGAUCGUGGGUGGAUAUAGUGAAUUACAUUUGCGAUUCAUCCAUAACGUGGUACUGAAAAGGCUACUUGAAAGUGGUUGAUGAAGCAUGGCAACAGGCCAAUGCACAAAAAAAAUUAGGUCUAAGAUCGUAAAUGACUCGUUUUUGAUAAUGCUUAUUACAAAGUUCAAAAGGUCUGUCUUCAUGAUUUUACAUUGCUUUUAAAGUUUAGUUCAGGCACUACACAUUGCUAAAAUCUAUUCUUGCUAGCAAACAAUUGUGAAAUGCUACAUGUACGUACCCUUACAAUACAAUGGCUGAUUUCAAAGUUGCAUGUACGCAUUUGUGUCAAUAUAAUUGUCUAGGUUGAAUUUUUAGCUAAGACUCUGCUAAGAUGGUUUGAUAAAUGAGCAUAAGUAGUUUGCUUAAGGCCCACCUCAUCCUUUUUUGACUUAAGCAAUUUCCUAAGCAAAGAUUGAUAAUUCUUAACCUUGAACACUAACAUUUAAAACAUGAAUUGCAUACUUUGUGUUUUUAAGUCAAGUUAUUAACUUUUACUUGGAAAUCAGAACAAAAAAAAUCCCUCAUAUUAAUAAAUGUUUUUUUAAUUUUUUUAAAGCGAAUAAAUAUCUUCAGAACAUAACAAAUAAGCAAAAUAUUAGUAUUAAUACAGUAGAACCCCUCAUUUUGGAACACCCAUAUUAAGGAGACACCUUUUCAGCCAUAAAACAAGGGAUAGUGUUAUCCAAAAAAAAAUCAAAAUUGAAUUACUUCACCCUUCUUGCACCAUUGCUAGUAGACAGGAUUAUUGGAUGUUUUUAACAAAUUUUGACAAUGUUAAGGAUUUGCUUGUUUGUUUUUAUCAAUGAAUCGGAUCUGAGUGAAGUGAAUAAAAAAAAUAUCAAGGUUAAUAAUGCAUCUGAAUGAAAACAAGGACUUUAACAUAACUGAUGCCAACUUUGGUAUAAACAGAUUCCUUUUCUGAGAAGGUGUAAACCCAUAUUUGUGGUUUGGGUGCUAGCCAAUAUAUUUUCUUCUAUUCACAUGUUUAUUUAUCUGGCUACAAUAUUUCACAACCUUUCAUUUUCUGAACGGAAAUUACACAAAUGUACUGUAAAACAAUCGGAUGAGAAACUAAUGAUUAUGACAAUGAGUAAGAUGAAGAUGAUGAACAUGGCCAUGGUGCUGGCCUAGGUGGUGCAGUAGUGUACUUAGUUUUCAACUGCAGAGAAGAUUGACUAUAUGAAAAGGUUUUGAGAAAACCAGCUGUACCAUGGAUGCAAUGGAGCUGAAGCAUGGUGCUUAAGCAUGGUGCUUAAGAUGCUUCCCUUCACAUUCCAGGGUCUUGGGUUCAAAUCCUGUAGCAUUUAUAUAAACCUCAGGCUACUAUUUGCAAAGGUCUGUCCACACUGUAAAAAUUUUAUGUGACAAAUAACUGUGAUAUGCCCAUAUUUAGGUGUAAUAUGAUAUCAUCAUGCCCAUAUAUGGGCAAAUCACACAAGUCUGUCACAUAAAACUUGAUAGUGUGGACUUUUCUUAAAUUAUGGAUUUUCUCAAGAGCGGAUCCAGCAGGGGGAAUGGGGGGCACAUUCCCCCAUUUUGCUACUAAAUUUUAAAAAUUUCAAUGCAAAUCAAUGUUAUGUGCUACUCACCUAUUCUGGAUCUGCCCCUGUUUCUACACUCAUGAAAUUACAAAUUAGACUUUUUCUUUUUCUUUGGUUACCCCCUGCUACUAUUUCUACUCUAGUACUACCGUAUAUUCUCAAGUACUAUAUAAGACAAAGACAACGAACGAAAUAUAGAGGUUGUCUUAAACGCACAACAUAUAAAUUUUUGAUUUUCAAAUCAUAUUCAUCUUAUGUGCGGAUCUGUAACAUGUAAAUUUACUACUACUGAAAUGAAGCUAGACUUACUAAUUGUUAUAAAUGAACGCAUUUCGCGGAGAAAUAAGAUUUCGAAAAUUUGGAAGCACCAAAAUUUAUAAGAUUGGCCCUACAUUUGACUCUGAUUUUAGACAGCUAGAUGCAGUAUCAAGAUCGUAAAAAGCAGCAAAAUGUACGAAUAAACAAGGAGGUUGUCUUAUACGCCUGACCCCACAGGUUGUAAAAGGCAGACCCAGAGAGGAAAGCCCUGGUGGAGGACCCUUGUGGGUGGUGGCUGCCAGAAAAACUGCAAUUUUGGGCCAUUUUAAGCCGUUCUGAGAAUUUUUACAAUGUAUUGCAUAAAAAAUUUUGAUGCAAAUAUAUAAUUUUUUAGGGGUCCGACAAAUAAUUGCCAAUGGGGCUUGAACUAUCUGAUGUAGCUUUGAAAUCCCUACCCCCUGCUGUGAUCCCUUUGGUCCUCGAACUAUUAAUAGCUAAAUAUGCUCCAUGUUUCUGAAGCAUCUUGCUCCUGAUAUUAAUUUAUAGCUACUGUAAUGUCAAUGAUGCUUACAAAAAUUGAUUUAUAUUUAAGAUGCAUCAGACAAUAUAAAACUCCUCUCUGUUAAAAAAAAAACCCAAUCAAAAAAUUAUCUGAAAUAUACUAUAUAACAGAUGAACAAUGAUAUAAAAGUAUUUACACUGGUAAUUACUACCAGCAGUCUUUCAGAACAGGUUGCUGGUACUGCACUGUACUGCACAAGUACUGGUAGGCCUCCAAGUUCCAUAAUUGCAUUUUAACAACUUCCAACAACCUGGCUUACCAAGGAAUGUGACCUGGAGAUUAGCUGAUUCUACUAAAGUAAAUUUAAAACUUCAACCCAAAAAAUUAUUAUAAAGUUGUUAUACUUUAUUA